rnacentral:lncRNA from 8 species
AUGUCUAUAUCUACACUAUCUAGCUCUCUAUAUCUACACUAUCUAUCUCUCUAUAUCUACACCAUCUAUCUCUCUAUAUCUACACUAUCUAUCUCUCAAUAUCUUCACUAUCUAUAUAUCUCUCUAUAUCUACACUAUCUAUCUAUCUCUCUAUAUUGCCACUAUCUAUCGUUCUCUAUCGACACUAUCUAUUUCUCUAUAUCAACACUUUCUAUCUAUCUCUCUAUAUCUACACUAUCUAUCUCUAUAUCUACACUAUCUAUCUCUCUAUAUCUACACUAUGUGUCUCUCUAUAUCUCCACUAUCUUUCGCUCUAUAUCUACACUAUCUAUAUUGCUCUAUAUCUUCCUCUCUAUAUCUACACUAUCUACCACUCUAUCUACACUAUCUAUCUCUCUAUAUCUACACUAUCUAUCUAUCUAUAUCUGUCUGUCUGGCUGCCUCCCUUUCACGCUCUAUCUACACUAUCCAUCUCAAUAUCUACACUAUCUAUCUCUCUCUAUCUACACUAUCUAUCUCUAUAUCUACACUAUCUAUCUCUCUAUCUACACUAUCUAUCUCUAUAUCUACACUAUCUAUCUCUAUAUCUACACUAUCUAUCUCUCUAUAUCUACACUAUGUGUCUCUCUAUAUCUCCACUAUCUUUCGCUCUAUAUCUACACUAUCUAUAUUGCUCUAUAUCUUCCUCUCUAUAUCUACACUAUCUACCACUCUAUCUACACUAUCUAUCUCUACAUUUACACUAUCUAUCUCUACAUCUACACUAUCUAUCUCUACAUCUACACUAUCUAUCUCUCUAUAUCUGUCUGUCUGGCUGCCUCCCUUUCUCUAUCUACACUAUCUAUGUCUCUAUCUACGCUAUCUAUCUCUAUAUCUACACUAUGUAUCUCUCUAUCUACACUAUCUAUCUCUCUAUCUACAGUAUCUAUCUCUAUAUACACUAUCUAUCUCUAUCUACACUAUCUAUCUCUAUACAUAGAAUAUUUAUCUAUAUCUACACUAUCUAUCUCUAUAUAUAGACUAUCUAUCUCUAUCUACACUAGCUAUCUCUAUACAUAG